rnacentral:misc_RNA from 1 species
UUUCCGUAGGUGAACCUGCGGAAGGAUCAUUAUUGUAUAACGGAGGUGCGAGGGCUGUCGCUGACCCGAAAGGUCGUGCACGCCCGAGUGCCCUCACACACAUCCAUCUCACCCCUAUGUGCACCACCGCGUGGGUCCCCCUUUGGCUUGUUCGGAGGGGGGCUUACGUUUUCACACAAACUUUGUAUGCAGUGUAGAAUGUAUUUUUUGUUUUUGCGAUCACGCAAUCAAUACAACUUUCAACAACGGAUCUCUUGGCUCUC